GAUGAACGCUGGCGGCGUGCCUAAUACAUGCAAGUCGAGCGAAUGGAUUAAGAGCUUGCUCUUAUGAAGUUAGCGGCGGACGGGUGAGUAACACGUGGGUAACCUGCCCAUAAGACUGGGAUAACUCCGGGAAACCGGGGCUAAUACCGGAGAACAUUUUGAACCGCAUGGUUCGAAAUUGAAAGGCGGCUUCGGCUGUCACUUAUGGAUGGACCCGCGUCGCAUUAGCUAGUUGGUGAGGUAACGGCUCACCAAGGCAACGAUGCGUAGCCGACCUGAGGGGGGGAUCGGCCACACUGGGACCGAGACACGGCCCAUACUGCUACGGGAGGCAGCAGUAGGGAGUCUUCCGCAAUGGACGAAAGUCUGACGGAUCAACGCGGCGUGAGUGACGAAGGCUUUCGGGUCGUAAAACUCUGUUGUUAGGGAAGAACAAGUGCUAGUUGAAUAAGCUGGCUCCCUGACGGUACCUAACCAGAAAGCCACGGCUAAGUACGUGCCAGCCGCCGCCGUAA
rnacentral:rRNA from 1 species